rnacentral:rRNA from 1 species
AUUGAACGCUGGCGGCAGGCUUAACACAUGCAAGUCGAACGGAGUAUAGAGCUUGCUCUAUAUUUAGUGGCGAACGGGUGAGUAAUGCCUAGGAAUCUGCCCAUUAGCGGGGGAUAACGUGUGGAAACGCACGCUAAUACCGCAUACGCCCUACGGGGGAAAGCAGGGGAUCUUCGGACCUUGCACUAAUGGAUGAGCCUAGGUCGGAUUAGCUAGUUGGUAGGGUAAAGGCCUACCAAGGCUACGAUCUGUAGCGGGUCUGAGAGGAUGAUCCGCCACACUGGAACUGAGACACGGUCCAGACUCCUACGGGAGGCAGCAGUGGGGAAUAUUGGACAAUGGGCGAAAGCCUGAUCCAGCCAUGCCGCGUGUGUGAAGAAGGCCUUUUGGUUGUAAAGCACUUUCAGCGAGGAGGAAAGGUCAGUAGCUAAUAUCUGCUGGCUGUGACGUUACUCGCAGAAGAAGCACCGG